rnacentral:tRNA from 1 species
GACCCGGUAGCUCAGUUGGUAGAGCAACGGACUUUUAAUCCGUAGGUCGUGGGUUCGAUCCCCACCCGGGUCA